rnacentral:rRNA from 1 species
UACGGUAGGGUGCAAGCGUUAAUCGGAAUUACUGGGCGUAAAGGCGUGCGCAGGCGGUGAUGUAAGACAGGUGUGAAAUCCCCGGGCUUAACCUGGGAACUGCAUUUGUGACUGCAUCGCUGGAGUGCGGCAGAGGGGGAUGGAAUUCCGCGUGUAGCAGUGAAAUGCGUAGAUAUGCGGAGGAACACCGAUGGCGAAGGCAAUCCCCUGGGCCUGCACUGACGCUCAUGCACGAAAGCGUGGGGAGCAAACAGG